ACUCAAAUGAAUUGACGGGGGCCCGCACAAGCGGUGGAGCAUGUGGUUUAAUUCGACGCAACGCGAAGAACCUUACCGGGGCUUGACAUCCUGCGCUAUCCUAGGAGACUAGGCUUUCUAGCAAUAGAACGCAGAGACAGGUGCUGCAUGGCUGUCGUCAGCUCGUGCCGUGAGGUGUUGGGUUAAGUCCCGCAACGAGCGCAACCCUUGCCGUGUGUUGGUCCAAAAGAUCUCUCACGCGGGACCGCCGGUGACAAGCCGGAGGAAGGUGGGGAUGACGUCAAGUCAGCAUGGCCCUUACGUCCCGGGCUACACACGUGCUACAAUGGAACGGACAGCGAGUCGCGAACCCGCGAGGGUAAGCUAAUCUCACAAACCGUUUCUCAGUUCGGAUUGAAGGCUGCAACUCGCCUUCAUGAAGUCGGAAUCGCUAGUAACCGCAGAUCAGCUACGCUGCGGUGAAUACGUUCCCGGGCCUUGUACACACCGCCCGU
rnacentral:rRNA from 1 species